rnacentral:rRNA from 1 species
UACGUAGGGGGCAAGCGUUGUCCGGAUUCAUUGGGCGUAAAGGGUGCGUAGGCGGCGCGGUAAGUCGGGUGUGAAAUCUCGGAGCUUAACUCCGAAACUGCCAUUCGAUACUGCCGUGCUUGAGGACUGGAGAGGAGACUGGAAUUACGGUGUAGCGGUGAAAUGCGUAGAUAUCGUAAGGAAGACCAGUGGCGAAGGCGGGUCUCUGGACGGUAACUGACGCUGAGACGCGAAAGCGUGGGGGAGCAAACAGG